CACGUAGGGCGCAAGCGUUGUCCGGAAUUAUUGGGCGUAAAGAGCUUGUAGGCGGUUUGUCGCGUCUGCUGUGAAAUCUCAAGGCUCAACCUUGAGCUUGCAGUGGGUACGGGCAGACUAGAGUGUGGUAGGGGAGACUGGAAUUCCAGGUGUAGCGGUGAAAUGCGUAGAUAUCUGGAGGAAUACCGGUGGCGAAGGCGGCAUCCUGGACCGACAUUGACGCUGAGGAGCGAAAGCCAGGGGAGCAAACGGG
rnacentral:rRNA from 1 species